UACGAAGGGGGCUAGCGUUGCUCGGAAUUACUGGGCGUAAAGCGCACGUAGGCGGAUCUUUAAGUCAGGGGUGAAAUCCUGGAGCUCAACUCCAGAACUGCCUUUGAUACUGAGGACCUUGAGUUCGGGAGAGGUGAGUGGAACUGCGAGUGUAGAGGUGAAAUUCGUAGAUAUUCGCAAGAACACCAGUGGCGAAGGCGGCUCACUGGCCCGAUACUGACGCUGAGGUGCGAAAGCGUGGGGAGCAA
rnacentral:rRNA from 1 species